CCUAACUGUAAGAUAAGGCCAGGGACUAAUGAAAUUAUUUUUAAAAAUUGGGCAGACUAGAUGGGUUCUUAUCUGCCCUCACAUUCUAUAAGUGAAAGGCUUGCAGAAAUGUACCCGCAUUAGAGGCAGGGGUAAGUUAAGUCUUUGUUGUUUGUGAACAAAGACAGACAGACAACAAAAAUUCUGAGAUUGGAAAGUCCAUGUAACAGUCUAAAACAAUUCACUGUUUGUACUAAGAGUAG